rnacentral:misc_RNA from 1 species
GGAUGAAGAACGCAGCGAAAUGCGAUAAGUAAUGUGAAUUGCAGAAUUCAGUGAAUCAUCGAGUCUUUGAACGCACAUUGCGCCCCCUGGUAUUCCGGGGGGCAUGCCUGUCCGAGCGUCAUUGCUGCCCUCAAGCACGGCUUGUGUGUUGGGCCCCCGUCCCCGGUUUCCCCCGGGGACGGGCCCGAAAGGCAGCGGCGGCACCGCGUCCGGUCCUCGAGCGUAUGGGGCUUUGUCACCCGCUCUGUAGGCCCGGCCGGCGCCAGCCGACACCCAACUUUAUUUCUAAGGUUGACCUCGGAUCAGGUAGGGAUACCCGCUGAACUUAAGCAUAUCAAUAAGCGGAGGA